GCACGGGCGACGGGCGUUGCCUGGGCACAUACUUAGCCUUGUGCAUCUGGAAACUGUCGCCCCUGUCGAUUACGAUGCAAAAAGUUCUGCUACAUAUGCAUGUUUCUUAUUUCAGCAUGUACAACAAGCAGUCUGUCCGAUGGAGACAUUUCCUGGGCAUCCUGGUAACGCAUCGCGCCUCAUGCGAAAGCUAUAGGUUCUCCCAUCCUAAACGUGAAAUGUCCCUCUGCAUGGUCCAAGUGUCGAUGCGGGCUUCAGAGGCGAUACAGCUUUUGGUUAUCAUAUUGAACUGUGAACGUCUAUUAAGCAGCAGUCACAGGCUUUUGUCACUAACACAGCCGCGGACUCCAGCGGGCAACGUUAAAGACAUCACUUUACGUAGCGUGUGUCCUGUUGUUUCACCAGUGGUGAACCCCUGCUUUUGAUUAAGUUCAAUUAAGUUCACCGUUGCGUAGCUGCAGCUCUGUGCACACUGCAACUGUUACACUCCAUUUCCAGAAUCACGUUCUUUCGGAACGGAUUCGUAUCUGUUUGUUAGUCUUCUUGAUUUUCGUUCACAUGUCGAUGUGUCUGGGGUCAUUCCCAUUUCGGCUCCUGCAGCGAAUUGCUCAAAACUGAAAUUAGCUUCACCUCUAUCAUGUUCAUGCCCUCAAAAAACAACUUGUUUAUUGGGUGGUCACCCUGCACCAUCUGCGUAGCUUUGUAUCUGUGAUUCGCAGCUUUGUCUGUGCUCCAUGUGGUCUCCGACAUCGACAACAGAGUGUUCAGUGCGUCCAAGUGCUGAACCCACCUUGAGGUGGGUUGCCUCGAGGAUUAGUGACAGAGCAGUCGUCACUAGUCUGCCGUGCACAACUAACACACAAGAAAUGGCAGCCUCUUGUUAGCCGA
rnacentral:lncRNA from 1 species